AUAUUAAAGUUUAUUGUAUUUAAUUGGGAGUUAAAAUUCUAUGCUUCGUAACUGUGUGUGUGUGUUUCCAAUAUGGGAAUUGCGUCGAUCCAGUAGCAGUAUUAACGAGUUGGUAAUAUAUGCUGUAAUAAACAAAUAUAACAAUGAAGUCAAAUCAGUUUUGCUACGCGGUGCCAUAUCUUCUCGUCCUAAGUUUUAACACGAAUUCUGUUUGUUGUAAAACUGAGGCUUAUCAGUAUACUUUCCACGUGGACAAAUUAAAUUGGAACGAGGCUCAUCGGAAUUGUCACCGAAUGAAUAGAAAUCUACUCCAUCUCAAAACAGUCAAGCAACAACGAACAAUGGUAGAAAUAACAGACUUAUGGGUACAAAAUAACCACAUUAAUGAUAAAUAUUGGAUAGGGGGCUUUAAUUAUGUGAAUACGUCAAAUCCAGGCCUGGAUGGUUGGUAUUGGGAUGAUUGUACCCCUAUUGGAGAACCCAGUCACUGGGCCUCAUCGGCCCACGAUGAUUCAAAGAAGAAAUGUGUAUUUAGGAGUAAACAU